CGCGGAGUGGAGCAGUAUGGCAGCUCGUCGGGCUCAUAACCCGGAGGUCAGAGGUUCAAAUCCUCUCUCCGCAA
rnacentral:tRNA from 1 species